CCCUUUGCACGUGACGUCACGCUCUACUAGUGCAAAUUAUGAACACCAUGACGGACGGCGGAGGAGCUAUGCUGUAGACAGACGGCAAGCCAAACGCGUACGUGUUUGUUCAUGUUUGUGUUCUAACA